CAGCAACGCCGCGUGAGUGAUGAAGGCCUUCGGGUCGUAAAGCUCUGUCAGGUGGGAAGAACCCUGGAUAUAAUAAAAUGUAUUCAGCUGACGGUACCACCGAAGGAAGCACCGGCUAACUCCGUGCCAGCAGCCGCGGUAAUACGGAGGGUGCAAGCGUUAUUCGGAAUUAUUGGGCGUAAAGAGCGCGCAGGCGGUUUUUUAAGUCAGAUGUGAAAUCCCAGGGCUUAACCCUGGAAGAGCAUUUGAUACUAUUGAACUUGAGUAUGGGAGAGGGAAGCGGAAUUCCUGGUGUAGCGGUGAAAUGCGUAGAUAUCAGGAGGAACACCGGUGGCGAAGGCGGCUUUCUGGACCAAUACUGACGCUGAGGCGCGAAGGUGUGGGUAGCAACAGGAUUAGAUACCCUGGUAGUCCACACAGUAAACGUUUAUCACCAAGUG
rnacentral:rRNA from 1 species